rnacentral:rRNA from 1 species
CCAGACUCCUACGGGAGGCAGCAGUGGGGAAUAUUGCACAAUGGGGGAAACCCUGAUGCAGCGACGCCGCGUGAGUGAAGAAGUAUUUCGGUAUGUAAAGCUCUAUCAGCAGGAACGAGACAAGACGGUACCUGACUAAGAAGCCCCGGCUAACUACGUGCCAGCAGCCGCGGUAAUACGUAGGGGGCAAGCGUUAUCCGGAAUCACUGGGUGUAAAGGGAGCGUAGACGGCUGUGCAAGCCUGAUGUGAAAGCCCGCGGCCCAACCGCGAGACUGCAUUGGGAACUACCGGGCUGGAGUGCCGGAGAGGUAGGCGGAAUUCCUAGUGUAGCGGUGAAAUGCGUAGAUAUUAGGAGGAACACCAGUGGCGAAGGCGGCCUACUGGACGGUGACUGACGCUGAGGCUCGAAAGCGUGGGGAGCAAACAGGAUUAGAUACCCUAGUAU